GUGCCAGCCGCCGCGGUAAGACAGAGGUGGCGAGCGUUGUUCGGAUUUAUUGGGCGUAAAGCGAACGCAGGUGGUUUGGUAAGUCAGAGGUGAAAGUUCGCAGCUUAACUGCGACACUGCCUUUGAUACUGCCUUUCUUGAGUGCAUGAGGGGGAAGCGGAAUUCCGAGUGUAGAGGUGAAAUUCGUAGAUAUUCGGAGGAACACCGGUGGCGAAGGCGGCUUCCUGGCAUGUAACUGACACUCAUGUUCGAAAGCGUGGGGAGCAAACAGGAUUAGAAACCCUCGUAGUCC
rnacentral:rRNA from 1 species